UAAUACGGAGGGUGCAAGCGUUACUCGGAAUCACUGGGCGUAAAGCGCAUGCAGGCGGUCUAAUAAGUUGGAAGUGAAAUCCUAUGGCUCAACCAUAGAACUGCUUCCAAAACUGUUAGACUAGAGUCUGGGAGGGGAAGAUGGAAUUAGUAGUGUAGGGGUAAAAUCCGUAGAGAUUACUAGGAAUACCAAAAGCGAAGGCGAUCUUCUGGAACAGUACUGACGCUGAGAUGCGAAAGCGUGGGGAGCAAACAGGAUUAGAUACCCUGGUAGUCCACGCAGUAAACGAUGAAUGUUAGUCGUUGGGDCUCUAGUAGUUUCAGUGAUGCAGUUAACACAUUAAACAUUCCGCCUGGGGAGUACGGUCGCAAGAUUA
rnacentral:rRNA from 1 species